UACAGAGGUGCUCAAGCGUUUGUUCGGAUUCAUUGGGCGUAAAGGGUGCGUAGGCGGCGCGGUAAGUCGGGUGUGAAAUCUUGGAGCUUAACUCCGAAACUGCAUUCGAUACUGCCGUGCUUGAGGACUGGAGAGGAGACUGGAAUUUACGGUGUAGCGGUGAAAUGCGUAGAUAUCGUAAGGAAGACCAGUGGCGAAAGGCGGGUCUCUGGACAGU
rnacentral:rRNA from 1 species